UACGAAGGGGGCUAGCGUUGCUCGGAAUCACUGGGCGUAAAGCGCACGUAGGCGGAUCUUUAAGUCAGGGGUGAAAUCCCAAGGCUCAACCUUGGAACUGCCUUUGAUACUGGGGAUCUCGAGUCCGGAAGAGGUUGGUGGAACUGCGAGUGUAGAGGUGAAAUUCGUAGAUAUUCGCAAGAACACCAGUGGCGAAGGCGGCCAACUGGUCCGGUACUGACGCUGAGGUGCGAAAGCGUGGGGAGCAACAGG
rnacentral:rRNA from 1 species